CAGACACGAACCAGACGGUGGUGGUCAAGGGAGACCUGGUGGAGUCCAACUGCGGGGCGAUCCCCAUCAUUCUCUCCGACGUCCUGGUGGCAGACGACCCGUGGGCGCUACAGCCCGAUACCCCAUUUUUUGAAUCUGACUCUCUGACCGGAGCUGUUAUCGGCGUGAUCGUUGCCCUCGUCCUCUUCGCCCUGCUGGCCCUGGCCGUCCUGCUGUUCCUCUACAACCACCGUCACAAGGGCAGCUACCACACCAACGAGGCCAAGCCCCCCAGCGGGGUGCAGACCACCUCCCUGAAGAAGAAUCUGCCGCAGAUCGUGGAGGAGGCCAAGGGCGAAUAGACGGAGGGGGCAGUGGGCGUGCCUGUGGGGUCCCUGCCCGAUGAACACUUCCCUUGCGCGUGUUUUUUUUUGGGAAAAAAAAAGACAAAAGCGGAGACGGAAUGGCUGCCACCUGAGCGAAUCCUUCACCGCCCCGCAAUCAGCUAACCCCGCUAGUUAAGGCUAACUGUUCGUAGAAAGCGUAUCUGAGCUGUCGCCGCCGCCUGCUGGGCGGAGUCUAUAAUCGGUGAACUACUCCGCCCUCCCUCCCUCCCACCCCCCCCAAAUACCCCCGCUGUCCCAGUGCAUGCACGCUGUUGCACACCGUCCCCGGUUAGACCCCUCGACGUGACAUAAUCACAUCAAACUUGGUUUCUUUAAAUGAGCCUAAGUCGACAUUGUGUAAUUUUUAAAUAUAUAUAUACAGAUAGAUAUAUAUAUAUAUAUAUGGUAAUAUUUUAUAGUUUGCUGCAACAGUCUAUAGGGUUAACCAUGUGCGAAGUGGUCGCCCAGGGUGAGGGUUAGGGGUUAGGGGCUCAGUAUACCCGGUGCCCUCUGGAGGGGCUGCGGCCCCCCACACUGUGGACGCGGGGGCAGGGGGGGUUGGUGGGGCAAACACGAGUGUACUUGCCAAGGACCAGGCUUCGACACUGCCAUCAGCCGUUCACUUCCGGAGCGGUAGCCCCCUUCCGGGCACAGAGGGAGCAAGACGGGCCGAAGGAAGGGGCGGCGGGGGUGGUUGUCCCCGUCUCCCCUAGCGAGGGGUCAGCGUGGGUAACUGCAUCUCCACCACCCCCGGCUAAGGACAGGUGCCACACCCGGUGCGAAAGUGAAAGGGUGUUUAGCCCCCCCCCCCCACUACACUCCGCCUGGACGGGGGUGGGGCAAGCGCAGCAAACUAAGAGCCGGGAGCCACAGGCGGUGCGAGGUCCCGAGCGGCGGAGAGGCACCGGCGAUGGGGCGCAGAUGGGCGUCUCCAGGGAUCGUGGAGUCAGCUUUGAGAGUCACACACAGAUCUGGUGUCUGUUUCUGCGCUGUAGCCCCCCCCCCCCCCACGACGAUGGCAGAGCCUUUCCAACUGGACCUGGGUUCACCGGUGUGGCUGGCCCGGACUGAGGGAAUUGGAGUGAGAUAAAUUGCAGUCCAAUCAGUCAUUUGCUCAGGAAACUGGUGCUUCCUUUUUUUCUUUCUCUUUCACUCUCUCUCCCUUUCUCUCUGCCCCUGCCUCCCCCUUUUCUGUCUCUCACACACCCUCUCCCAUUUCUCUCUUCCCCCUCUCUAUCUCUCCCAUGUCUCUCUCUUUUUCUGUCCCUCUCUUUCUCUCUCUUUCUGUCUCAUGUCUUUCUAACUGUCGAACUCUCUCUUCCCCUUUCUCUCUCUAUCUCUCUGCUUGUCUCUGUCAGUCUCUCUCUUCCUCUGCCUCUCCUACCUUCUUCUCCAUCCCUUUUCCCAAUAUUCCUCCCCCUCCCCUCUCCGUGUCUCGUCGCUAUCACAGACCAAUUUGUUAUAUUGUUUAAUUCACUGGAGAUUCAAAUAUUAAACUCACU